ensembl:lncRNA
GAUAUAUAUGACUUUUGAAGCUUAAAAAAAACGAUUUCUCUUUCAUGUCCACAUUACCGAUGAUGCAACAUAAGUAGUUCCUUGUUGCUUGGCAACGCCAUUGACAUCAUAGAACGUGUCACUGUGUUCCGAUGUGCUUUGUUGUUGGGUUCCAUUUUGUCCCUCAUAACUUCACUGGACUUCUUGAGAGCUGCACGCUUUCUGUUCUCAGUCCUGCAUCCGUUCAUAACCUUUGACCACUGACAAUACAACGCUGUUUUCAAGUUUUAUCGUGUACACAGAAGUAUUUUACCCAACAUUUAAAUCAAACAGGAGAAAUGGCUGAAGGAUAUACAACGAAUCUGCCGGUUUCCAACCAGGGACCACCAGAGUCAUCUGAACAGUUCAACGCAGAAUAUAUGAGCCUGAGGGAGAUCUGCGAAGUUCUUAGGUCUAUGCGCAUGAAAAUUCACAUGAGCGGAAUAAAGGUUGCAGGAUGGGAAUGUUUGAAGGUUAAAAAUGACAACUAUGACCAUCACAGGCAGGAGGAAGGCAUUGCUAGGAGAAAAUGUGAAACCCUUCAAAAAGAGGUGAAGAAUCUCCUUGUUAAGGUCAAAAAUCAUCAACAUUUUGACUCAAUCUACAGAGACCAAAAAGCAGUAAACGAAGAAAUGUCUUCUAAACAUCAAAAGCUGGAAGAAGAGGUGGACUUGCAGCAGAAAAGGUUGGCGCACUUAAAACGUGUGGAGUCAAACGCUGCAUCCAUAACACAGGAGAAUGAGGAGUACGACCAAAAAAUUAAGCUCCUGGAGACCACACCGCAAAAGGUUACCAAUGAAUGUAACCUUUUAUCUGAGGCCAGUGAACGAGACGCCCAUCAGCUUGAUAUGAAGAAGACUUUGGUGAAGAACUUGGCCUCCAAAACAGCUUUGACUCACUUGGAUUACAAACGUCUGCAAUAUAAGAAUAAGGAACUGAUUGCAGAGACACAGGAGUUAGAAAUACAGGUUUCAGCUCUGGGGGAUGAGAAAAGUGAAAUAAACCUGAAACUCGUAAACCAACAACGUCAAAUUGAGGACUCAAUGCACCGUAAGGACGCUUUGGAGAGAACAACCAAUGAUUUAAAACAGCAAAUCCAGGCCCUCAAUGAAGCGCUCACGUCCAGAGAAUCUUUGGCAGCGCAACAGAAAUGCCAGGAGACUGUUCUGGAGGCGCAGCAGCGACAGUUGAUUAAGGCCCACACGGAGGCCACCAGCAAGCUACUCAGUGAAAAAGACUGGAAGGCUGGCUAUGACGCACAGAGGGAACUAAACGACGCCUUGGAGCUGAAGAACAAUGAAUGGAAAGAGAAUAUCCUCAGUGUAAUGAACAGUCUCAAAGAUCUUGACGCCUGUAAGGCAAACUACAAAUCAAUGAAGACAGAUAUAAAAGUUGCAACCAGACUGAAUAAAACUCUCGAAAAGCAACACAAGACCCUGGGAAACAAGUUCUCAAAAGAGCAGAAGUAUGAGGAAAAACACAACGCAAUAAAGUCCGAGAGCGAAACCCUGAUGGGUGAAAACUGCACUCUUCAGCGUCAGGUUGAGGAACUGCAGAGCACCCUUCAGGGAACGCAUGUUUUGACUUGUAUCUACAACUCCCUGGUAUCGGUUAAAAACGCCAACAAGCUACUGAACGACGACCUUCUGAGAGAACUUCAACAGCUCCACGAAGAGGCCGCUAAAGAAGCACCUCUGAAAGAGCGCAACGAGGCAAUAAGGGCAGAGAACGAGAUCGAUAACAGACAAUUGGACGUUCUCGAGGAGCAAGUGUCCUCCGUCGCAUGUAGAAAGGGUGCACCGGAAAAGGCCUUGGUGGUUUGAACCCUCGCCGGCCGGUCCCGAACAAGACACCUAACCACCCUUAGGCAUCCCAUUGAAGUAACAGCUAUGGUUUUCUCCUGGGUUUUCCUUAAAAAUGACCGUACAUGGGUGUCUACUGUGCUGAUGUAGCAUAAUUUGACACACAUUCUCUUAAUCGAUUCACACAUUUGUGACAUUUGCAAUGCACAUUUGGGCAGUUGAGUUUUUUUCCUGCAGCAGGUGUUCACACCUGUACUUGGUCCUCUGCUGUGCUAAUGUAAGGUCAUUUUACAUUCCAUUUAGACAUGGACGGUUUUCUCCCGGUGCUCCGGGUUUUCCUCAAAAAUAAUCUUUCUUAAUCGAUUAAUACAUUCGUUCCGCUAUAAAAGUAGAGUCCAUCACUUAUCCGACAGUACGGUUACAGAACCAAGGCUGUGCGUAGAGGUAAGCGCCACAGCGAAAGCACUGUCUGAAAUAAUUACACUCCUGGCAAAAAGCGCCUAAUUAGAUUUGGACCGUAGCGUCCACACCCAACAAAAUGUCACGCCAAGUUUUCUUAAAAACUCGACAGCCCCGAUAUGAAGAUUGAAAGAAUAUUGAACUACGAGCGUGGCGCAGCGGCAAAAAACACUAUUCGCCCCAAAAAAUUUAAGUUGUUUUAACUAGGCCAUACAUUUUGUUAUCUGCUCCAUAUGUUACCAGGGCCAGAGUAAUACUUCUGAUUGGACAGACGGACUGUCUGUCUGUCUUUCAACAGGAAAUGACACAGGGUCUCAAGUGUCAUGCACUCCCACCACGCAUCCAAUUCCUCACGCCAAGGAAUCGGUCUACGGUGUCGGCCAUAACGUCCGCGGUACCCCCCCACGUAGCGUCCACCUCCUUUUAUUUACUUUUAUGUACAACACCUAAAUAUAAUUGAACAACAAAACACCGGUAAAACAAUGGUGAAAAACUAGUAGGGCACUUUUAAGACACUCGUAAAACAUCGCCAUCUCUCCGUGACUUUCUGCUGCGGCUCUCCUGCUGCGCUCACUUCCACCCCUCAUCACAGGCUCUCCCGCCACAGAUUUAUUGAUUGCCAUAAUAUCUAGAAAGCGGCAUUUCUCAGCUUUCAGAAUCCGAUAGUGCAAAUAGUUAAGGAGUCACGGUAAUUUGAAUCCUCCAUGUCACUUUUCGUCGCCGGCGAUAGGCUUCAUAAUUAGGAGUCGGUAUUCCAGGAAGAGGAUAUUGAUAAAGCAUAUGAAAAUUUUCUGAAUAUCUUUAAAUUAUUAUAUGACAAAAACUGUCCAUUGAAAAUGUUCUCUCAAGCCAGGCCCAGAUGGGGGGCCCGACAGCGAGCGUCUGGUGGCCGGGUUUGCCGGCUCUGGAACCACAUUCCUGGAUAGGGGACGGACUCCCGGCUGAGUGCUGCUACAUUGGAGUUUACUCUGGUGGACACCCGGUACGCCUUCGGGUGGUGGGGGGGGGAAACUCUGACUGUUGUCUGUGCAUAUGCACCAAACAGCGGCUCAGAGUAUUCAGCCUUUUUGGAGACCCUGAAUGGAGUCCUGCAUGGGGCUCCAGUAGGGGACUCCAAAGUAUUACUGGGAGACUUCAAUGGGCACGUGGGAGACGAUGGAGAUAACUGGAGAGGCAUGAUUGGGAGGAAUGGCCUCCCUGAUCUGACCCCGAGUGGGUGUUUGUUACUGGACUUCUGUGCCAGUCACGGAUUGUCCAUAACAAACACCAUGUUCGGACAUAAGGAUGUUCAUAAGUGUACGUGGUACCAGAGCACCCUAGGCCAAAGAUCAAUGAUCGAUUUUGUAAUCGUAUCGUCUGAUCUGAGGCCGCAUGUUCUGGACACUUGGGUAAAGAGAGGGGCAGAGCUGUCAACUGAUCACCAUCUGGUUGUGAGCUGGGUCAGAGGAUGGGGGAUGACUCAGCACAGACCUGGUAAACCCAAGCGUGUAGUGAGUGUGAACUGGGAACUCCUGGAGGAGGCCCCGGUCCAAAAGAUUUUCAACUCACACCUCCGGCGGAGCUUCUCUUACAGUCCUGUGGAGGUAGGGGACAUUGAACCAAAGUGGUGUAUGUUCAAAACCUCCAUUGCUGAAGCCGCGGCAGUGAGUUGUUGCCUCAAGGUCUUAGGUGCAUCAAGGGGCGGUAACCCUCGAACACCGUGGUCGACACCGAUGGUCAGGGAAGCCGUUCGACUGAAGAAGGAGGCCUUCUGGGUUAUGAUAUCCGGUGGGACUCCGGAGACAGUUGCAGUGAACCGACAGGCUCGAAGGGCAGCAGCCUCUGCCGUGAUGGAGGCAAAGCAGCGAGUAUGGGAGGAGUUUGGGGUAACUAUGGAGAAGGACUUUCGGUCGGCACAAAAGUGUUUUUGGAAGACCAUCCGGCACCUCAGGAGGGGGAAACGAGGAACCAUCCAAGCUGUGUACAGUAAGGAUGGGGCCCUGUUGACCGCGACUGAGGAGGUUAUCGGGCGGUGGAAGGAACACUUUGUUGUGACUUGGAGAAGGCGUAUGACCGGGUCCCCCGAGAGAAACUGGGAGGUGCUGCUGGAGUACAGGGUGAGGGGGUCCUUGCUUGGGGCCUUCCAAUCCUUGUACGCCCAAAGCGAGAGCUGUGUUCGGGUGCUCGGCAGUAAGACAAAGGCGUUUCCGGUGGAAGUUGGCCUUCGCCAGGGCUGCGCCUUGUCCCCAAUCUUGUUUGUGGUCUUCCUGGACAGAAUAUCGAGGCGUAGUCGGGGGAGGAGGGUCUACAGUUCGGGGGGCUGCAGAUCUCUGCUUUUUGCAGAUGAUGUGGUCCUGAUGGCAUCUUCUGUCUGUGACCUCCAACUCUCACUGGAGCGUUUCGCAGUCGAGUGUGAAGCGGUCGUGAUGAGGAUUAGGACCUCUAAAUCUGAGGCCAUGGUUCUCAGCAGGAAACCGAUGGAUGGCCUACUCCAGGUAGAGAAUGUGUCCUUACCCCAAGUGAAGGAGUUCAAGUACUUCGGGGUCUUGUUCACGAGUGAGGGGAAGAUGGAGUGUGAGUUUGGCCGGAGAAUCGGAGCAGCGGGGGCGGUAUUGCACUCGCUUUACCGCACCGGUGUGAUGAAUAGAGAGCUGAGGCGGAAGGCAAAACUCUCAAUCUACCAGUCAAUCUUCGUUCCUAUCCUCACCUAUGGUCAUGAAGGAGUCAUGACCGAAAGAACUACGUCAUGGGUACAAGUGGCCGAAAUGGGUUUCCUCAGGAGAGUGGCUGGCGUCUCCCUUAGAGAUAGGGUGAGAAGCUCAGUCAUUCGUGAGGAGCUCGGAGUAGAGCCGCUGCUCCUUUGCCUCGAAAAGGAGCCAGUUGAGGUGGUUUGGGAAUCUGGUGAGGAUGCCCCCUGGGCGCCUCCCUAGGGAGGUGUUCCAGGCACGGCCAGCUUGGAAGAGGCCCCGGGAAGACCCAGGACUAGGUGGAGAGAUUAUAUCUCUGCACUGGCCUGGGAACGCCUUGGGAUCCCCCAGUCAGAGCUGGUAGAUGUGGCCCGGGAAAGGGAAGUUUGAAGUCCCCUGCUGGAGCUGUUGCCCCCACGACGUGACCCCGGAUAAGCGGCUGAAGAUGGAUGGACAGUUUUUUACAAAUAAUGAUGAAAAUUUUGAGGACAGUAAAGAUGUGGUUCAUAAUUUCAAUAAAAAUUGAAAGUGUGGGACCCAAACUGGCAGAAAAAAUCCCAGAUCCUUCAACAUCUGGAGCUCUGAAUGAAAAAUAAAUCAACAGAAAUACUUAUUCAAUGUUUCUCACUGCAGAGAAAUUUUGGAUAUUGUCAGUAAAUGUAAAAAUAAAAGGUCAACUGACUGUGAUGGCAUUGACAUUACAAUAAUCAAGAAGGUAAUUGUGGAAAUUCCUGCAGGCCUCUGACUUUCAUCUGUAAUCUGUCAUUUCAAGUGGGUACAUUUCCAGAAAAGAUGAAAAUUGCAAAAGUCAUUCCACUUUAUAAAUCCGCGGACAGACACCAUUUCACAAAUUAUAGACCUGUUUCUCUACUUCCACAAUUUUCCAAAAUUUUGGAAAAAUUAUUUGUGGGUAGAUUGGAUACCUUCAUUAAUAAACGCAAACUCUUUUCUGUAGGCCAAUAAAGAUUUAGAUCACAAAGAUCUACAGCAAUGGCAGUCCUUGAAUUAAUAGAAGAAGUCACCAGCUCCUUAGACAAAAAGAAAUCUGCAGUUGGCAUAUUUAUUGAUCUCAAAAAAGCAUUUGACACAAUAAAUCAGGAAAUAUUAAUCAGGAAAUUGGAGCACUAUGGUAUCAGGGGAGUAGUCUUGCACUGGAUGAAAAGCUAUCUAAGUAACAGGCAACAAUUUGUGCAAAUGGGUGACCACCAGUCAUCUUGCUUUGUUUGUGGUGUCCCCCAGGGGUCAGUAUUGGGACCAAAACAGUUUAUUCUUUAUAUUAAUAACAUCAGUAAAGUUUUCUUGGUUUGCAGAUGAUACUAAUAUUUUUGUACAGGUGAUAAUUUGCACCAGCUUUCGGCUGAAAUCAACAGUUAUGUCAACUUAUUAUAUGGUUUGAUAUUAAUAAAAUUGCAAAAGUAAAACAAAUUGGCAAAUCGAAAUAGAUGAUGUGUCGGUGGAGAGAGUUAAUGAAAUUAAGUUUUUUGGAGUGAUGAUAGACCAUAAGAUUUGCUGGAAACCGCAUAUUAAAUACAUUCAGUGUAAAAUAUCCAGAAGUAUUGCUGUUCUCAGCAAAGCUAAACAUUUUCUAAAUUAUGCUGCACUACAUAUUCUAUAUUGCUCACUUAUUUUUGCCUUACUUGAGUUACUGUGUGGAAGUAUGGGGCAACACCUAUAAAACCCUGCUGCGACCGUUAUGCACAUUACAAAAAAGAGCCAUCAUAAUGGUUCAUAAGGCAGGAUUCCACGACCAUACUAACUUAUUAUUUAUACAGUCCUGCAUUCAAUUGAAUUCAAAGCAAGCUAUAUUGGCUAAUAUAUCUCUGAUUGCCCUGUUAUUUUCAGUAAGAGCUUUUGUGGAGUCUGCUCUGCUUUUUUUCUGCAACUCCAUCGACUGCUGCUGAGGGAUUUUAGAGUGUAUGUAAUGUUCGCUGUUAUGGAAAACUGUGUUCCAGCGAUGUGUUGAUGCGCUGCCAAAUGUAUACAGGGACUGUACAGUUCAAAAAAGGCCUUAACCUCCUCACAGCCAUUAUCAAUGUAGUUAACACCCACAAGGUUCAGCGAAUGGGCAGCACACGGUGUAUAAUGAAUUAGUGGGUUUUGUUUUUUCAAGUAUAUUGCUAGGGUUAUCAAAACUUUGAGCACGACAGUUUGACAAGUCUAACCCCAAGUCUCGCACCAUUUCUAUCACAGAUUCAGCUGGCUUGCACCUGUGUGGCUGUGGAUGGGCUCAAACCCAAUGAAUAUUUCCACUAUUCAGUAACGAAAAACAAAUGUGCUCCUUUAAAAAGGGGUCAAACUCCGCGAUCAGUUCAAGCAGUCCCAAAUAGUUCCCAUUGUGCGCGGAGCUCAGCAGUUCGUUAUCGCCUCGAAAUGGCAGUCCUCUCCCUCACAAAAAUGUAAUAACGGCAACCACACGUCUAAAGACUUCUUUCCAGUACAGCUGUUCUGCCUCACACUGUCGGGCAAGAAAAGUGUCAACUCUGCCUGCGUAUUUAGACCUGUGCAAUAAAGAAAGCACGUUUUACCUGUGUUCUGCACCCUCUUCAUGAUCACUAAUCCUCUCUGGAUGUUUCCAACCCCAGAAUCCGCUGAUAAAUGCAUGCUUUUAGGAUGACAGGAGUUUGCAGGCAUAGCAAUAAACUGAUCCAGUUGAGGCCGAGUAAAGAAGCCAUUCCCUUGGCACAAUUUCAUUGUUUGGAGACGGCAAUUAAGCACAUCGUCGGUGAGGGAGCGUGUCCGACUUCCAAGUCCGGACUCCCUUACCGAUGCCGGAUACUUCACAGCCCGGUUCAGGAAAGCUGCAGGCCCC